CUUAUACUCCCUCCGUUCCGAAUUACUUGUCUUAGAUUUGUCUAGAUACGGAGGUAUCUAGCACUAAAAUGAGUCUAGAUACAUCCGUAUCUAGACAAAUCCAAGACAAGUAAUUCGGAACGGAGGGAGUAUUUU
rnacentral:pre_miRNA from 1 species